rnacentral:rRNA from 1 species
CCUACGGGUGGCUGCAGUGGGGAAUAUUGGACAAUGGGCGAAAGCCUGAUCCAGCCAUGCCGCGUGUGUGAAGAAGGCCUUCGGGUUGUAAAGCACUUUCAGUGGGGAAGAAAGCCUUGGGGCUAAUACCCUCGAGGAAGGACAUCACCCACAGAAGAAGCACCGGCUAACUCCGUGCCAGCAGCCGCGGUAAUACGGAGGGUGCGAGCGUUAAUCGGAAUUACUGGGCGUAAAGCGCGCGUAGGCGGUCUGAUAAGCCGGUUGUGAAAGCCCCGGGCUCAACCUGGGAACGGCAUCCGGAACUGUCAGGCUAGAGUGCAGGAGAGGAAGGUAGAAUUCCCGGUGUAGCGGUGAAAUGCGUAGAGAUCGGGAGGAAUACCAGUGGCGAAGGCGGCCUUCUGGACUGACACUGACGCUGAGGUGCGAAAGCGUGGGUAGCAAACAGGAUUAGAUACCCGAGUCGUC